rnacentral:rRNA from 1 species
GAUGAACGCUGGCGGCGUGCCUAAUACAUGCAAGUAGAACGCUGAAGGAAGGAGCUUGCUCUUUCCGGAUGAGUUGCGAACGGGUGAGUAACGCGUAGGUAACCUGCCUGGUAGCGGGGGAUGACUAUUGGAAACGAUAGCUAAUACCGCAUAACAGUAGAUGUUGCAUGAUAACUACUUAAAAGGUGCAAUUGCACCACUACCAGAUGGACCUGCGUUGUAUUAGCUAGUUGGUGAGGUAACGGCUCACCAAGGCGACGAUACAUAGCCGACCUGAGAGGGUGAUCGGCCACACUGGGACUGAGACACGGCCCAGACUCCUACGGGAGGCAGCAGUAGGGAAUCUUCGGCAAUGGACGGAAGUCUGACCGAGCAACGCCGCGUGAGUGAAGAAGGUUUUCGGAUCGUAAAGCUCUGUUGUAAGAGAAGAACGAGUGUGAGAGUGGAAAGUUCACACUGUGACGGUAUCUUACCAGAAAGGGACGGCUAACUACGUG